CGCAGGUUCGAAUCCUGCACGACCCACCAAUUUAACAUCAAACUCAGAUGUUGAACGUGAAGGAUAACGUUGCGUCAGCAACGGCCCGUAGGGCAGGGCGAAGCCGAGUCAUCCUGCACGACCCACCA
rnacentral:sRNA from 1 species